AGAAUGAACGCUAGCGAUAUGCUUAACACAUGCAAGUUGAACGUUGUUUUCGAAUCAGAAUGAGAACAAAGUAGCGAACGGGUGCGUAACACGUGGGAAUCUGCCGAACAGUUUGGGCCAAAUCCCGAAUGAAUAAAAGCUAAAAAGCGCUGUUUGAUGAGCCCACGUAGUAUUAGGUAGUUGGUUAGGUAAAAGCUGACCAAGCCUACGAUGCUUAGCUGGUCUUUUCGGAUGAUCAGCCACACUGGGACUGAGACACGGCCCAGACUCCUACGGGAGGCAGCAGUGGGGAAUCUUGGACAAUGGGCGAAAGCCUGAUCCGGCAAUAUGGCGUGAGUGAAGAAGGGCAACGCAGCUUGUAAAACUCUUUCAUCGAGUGUGCGAUUGUGACAAGACUCGAAUAAGAAGCCCCGGCUAACUCCGUGCCCAGCAGCCGC
rnacentral:rRNA from 1 species